rnacentral:rRNA from 1 species
GGGAGUGAAAUAGAACCUGAAACCCUGCACUUACAAGCUGUGGAAGCACAUUUCUUGUGUGACCGCGUACUUUUUGUAGAACGGGCCAACGAGUUACGUUAAGUAGCAAGGUUAAGCACUUAAGGUGCGGAGCCGUAGCGAAAGCGAGUUUUAACUGAGCGUUCAGUUACUUGACGUAGACCCGAAACCGGGCGACCUACCCAUGAGCAGGAUGAAGCGAAAGUAAAAUUUCGUG